rnacentral:lncRNA from 1 species
UUUUUUUAAAAAUAAAUCAAAAUUAAAAUCAGAAAACAGAAAAAAAAAUUAAGGAAACAAAAUAUGUAUACUUUUAAUUAAAAGAAGUUAAUUAUAUGCCGGUUUGAAUUUAUACAGAAAGAUUAGGAUUUAGAUUUUACAAUUAAACAAAAUUAUAUGUCGGUUUGGGUUUACUAAUGUGAACUAGGGUUUAGAUUUUACAAUUAAGCAAAAUUAUAUGUCGGUUUGGGUUUAUAAAAAAGUGAUUAGAGUUUAGAUUUAUAAUUAAACAAAAUUGUAUGUUGGUUUGGGUUUACAAAUGUGGAUUAGGGUU